rnacentral:rRNA from 1 species
AUUGAACGCUGGCGGCAUGCUUUACGCAUGCAAGUCGAACGGUAACAGGGUGCUUGCACCGCUGACGAGUGGCGAACGGGUGAGUAAUGCGUCAGAACGUGCCGAGUAGUGGGGGAUAACGCAGCGAAAGUUGUGCUAAUACCGCAUACGUACUGAGGUAGAAAGUGGGGGACCUUCGGGCCUCACGCUAUUCGAGCGGCCGACGUCUGAUUAGCUAGUAGGUGAGGUAAAGGCUCACCUAGGCGACGAUCAGUAGCGGGUCUGAGAGGAUGAUCCGCCACACUGGGACUGAGACACGGCCCAGACUCCUACGGGAGGCAGCAGUGGGGAAUUUUGGACAAUGGGCGAAAGCCUGAUCCAGCCAUGCCGCGUGUCUGAAGAAGGCCUUCGGGUUGUAAAGGACUUUUAGUGGGGAAGAAGCCCUCCCUGGCUAAUAUCCAGGGGGUCUGACGGUACCCACAGAAAAAGUUCCGGCUAACUACGUGCCAGCAGCCGCGGUAA